CAGAUAGGCCUAGCCUAUUUAUAGAUUGUGUUAUGUUGAAAGAACCCAACGCAGUCAGGCAAUUUCUUCAAACUACCCAGAAUGCAACGCUCCAGCUUUUCAAAUUGCAGGAAGGCGCGAGGAGUAAACAGACUAGUUCGCCUGCAAGAAAUGUACCACGUGAUGCAGUAGCCUGUUGAUGCUGGCAAAAGAUGCAAUCUGGAGGAUUUCAGGGUACGUUUUACUAUGCUUCAAUGUUAGGUGAGAUGAAUGUAAUGCAGUGUUUCCCAACCAGGGGUACGUGUACCACUAGGAGUAUGUUUUAUUUUAUGAAUAAAAACAAAUGUAUGGUCAUGAUCAUAUUGGGAUAAAGAACAUGAGUGAGGUGGUACUCAUACUAUGACAAAAAUGCUUAGGGGGUACUCAAGACGAAAAAGGUUGGGAGACACUGAUGUAUGCCCAGAUCAUGUACGCCCAGAGCAAAGUCACAGGCAGUGUGCUUCUCUUGCAUUCACAGACUGCCCAUGCUUUUUUAAAGAGAUAAGUUAGAAUGCUUUGCAUAUCUAUUUGUGUAGAGUUAAUCACCAAGACAAUUUCCAGAAGUUGUAUCCAGGUGUCAAUUGUGUCCUUGUUCUGGUGUUGUUAUUUUCAAACAGAGAUGGCUCUUGCUCACUGGCAGUGACUUGGGUCAUGUGAGACAGCAUCAGAGCUCGGGUGACAUCUCUCGCUCGGGUGAAAUCUCUCCUGGAAGAUUUCAAGGUGUGUGCAGAGUUCUGAAGAAUAAAAGUCAACAGUCAAGUUCUUCUCCAUAUUCUCCAAAUCUGACGGAGGCGUUCCAUCAGGAAAGGGGGAAUGGUUGGUCGAUGCCUCCAGAAUAAUGAUACCCAUGACCCAGGCACAACAUGCUGACAGGGAAUCGGCUAUGGCAGAAAGCAUCCAUGCCAUCUAC